rnacentral:rRNA from 1 species
AUACGGAGGGGACUAGCGUUGUUCGGAAUUACUGGGCGUAAAGCGUACGUAGGCGGAUCAGAAAGUAUGGGGUGAAAUCCCAGGGCUCAACCCUGGAACUGCCUCAUAAACUCCUGGUCUUGAGUUCGAGAGAGGUGAGUGGAAUUCCGAGUGUAGAGGUGAAAUUCGUAGAUAUUCGGAGGAACACCAGUGGCGAAGGCGGCUCACUGGCUCGAUACUGACGCUGAGGUACGAGAGUGUGGGGAGCAAACAGGAUUAGAUACCCUAGUAGUCC